rnacentral:rRNA from 1 species
CCUACGGGUGGCAGCAGUGAGGAAUAUUGGUCAAUGGACGAGAGUCUGAACCAGCCAAGUAGCGUGAAGGAUGACUGCCCUAUGGGUUGUAAACUUCUUUUAUAAAGGAAUAAAACGAGGCACGUGUGCCUUUUUGCAUGUACUUUAUGAAUAAGGAUCGGCUAACUCCGUGCCAGCAGCCGCGGUCAUACGGAUGAUCCGAGCGUUAUCCGGAUUUCUUGGGUUUAAAGGGAUCGUAGAUGGUUUUUUAAGUCAGUUGGGAAAGUUUGCGGCUCAACCGUAAAAUUGCAAUUGAUACUGGCAGUCUUGAGUACAGUUGAGGUAGGCGGAAUUCGUGGUGUAGCGGUGAAAUGCUUAGAUAUCACGAAGAACCCCGAUUGCGAAGGCAGCUUACUAAACUGUGACUGACAUUGAUGCUCGAAAGUGUGGGUAUCAAACAGGAUUAGAUACCCGGGUAGUC